UCAGAAAUCAUAGUUCGUGUCACCAGAACAUUUCAUGAUGGAAUUCUGGUUAUUCAUUAUGCGAUUGGGUGUAUUUUUCGUGGCAUAUAAGAUCGGCAUUAUCUUUUGUAAACAUUUACUGGAAGACGAAGAUGAAAAUGAACCAGACGCUUAAAAAGUCGCUUCUAGAGCUUUUUUCGACGGUCGAUUUAUGAAAUCCUUACGCCGACUGUCAACAUUUAAUUUCAUGCACAUGUGUAUGUAUAUUAUUUACAUGUAUUUUUUGAAUUAAUAAACCUUAGGUUGACAACUUU